GGAGGGGUGUCCGAGUGGUUAAAGGAGACGGGCUGUAAACCCGUUGGCGUACGCCUACGUUGGUUCGAAUCCAACCCCCUCCACCA
rnacentral:tRNA from 2 species